GGAUUCCCUCAGUAACGGCGAGUGAAGCGGGAAAAGCUCAGACUUAUAAUCUUCGGAAAUGUAGUCUGUUGAGACCAAGCUAACUGACGACGGAGGUUAAAUCCCCUGGAAUGGGGUACAAGAUAGGGUGAAAGUCCCAUUCAAGCCUUUUGUCUGAGUGUACGGCUAGUCUUCAUUGAGUCGAGUUGCUUGGGAUUGCAGCUCAAAGUGGGUGGUAAAUUCCAUCUAAAGCUAAAUAUAGGUGAGAGACCGAUAGCAAACAAGUACCGUGAGGGAAAGAUGAAAAGAACUUUGAAAAGAGAGUUAAAGAGUACCUGAAAUUGCUAGAAUGGAACCGAUGGGAAGUAGUGUUGCGGGUGACAUUGUCCAGCUUGUUCACAAGAUGGAAAUUUUGUCACAUAGCAAGUCCUUCUCGAUUACUUCCGCCAAAGACCACCUCGAACUGUAUAGUUUGAGGAACCCUUGUGGGAUAGAUCGAAAUUGACGAAAUACUUCUCAUCAUCCCGUCUUGAAACACGGACCAAGGAGUCUAACAUGUCUGCAAGUGCUUGGAGUUUACCUCCGUGCGCGAAAUUAACGUAAAGUCGGACUUGUCCGAUGAGGUAGGAAAUCUGCACUAUCGACCGACCAUGCUCCUACGGGAAAAAGGUUUGAGUGUGAGCACACAUGUUGGGACCCGAAAGAUGGUGAACUAUGCUUGAGUAGGACGAAGCCAGGGGAAACUCUGGUGGAGGUCCGUCGCGAUUCUAACGUGCAAAUUGAUCGUCGAACUUGGGUAUAGGGGCGAAAGACUAAUCGAACCAUCUAGUAGCUGGUUCCUCCCGAAAUUUCCCUCAGGAUAGCUGCAACCGAACAGUUUUAUCAGGUAAAGCGAAUGAUUAGAGGCCUCAGGGGUGGAACGUCCUUGACCUAUUCUCAAACUUUAAAUGGGUAAGAACCCGGAGUUGCUUAAUUGAACUCUGCGGUCGAAUGACGGUUGCUAGUGGGCCAAUCUGGGUAAGCUAGAUUGGCGAUGCGGGAUGAACCGAACGCUGAGUUAAAGUGCCAAAAUGUCCGCUAACCUAGACCCCACAAAAGGUGUUGGUUCAUUAAGACAGCAGGACGGUGGCCAUGGAAGUCGGAAACCGCUAAGGAGUGUGUAACAACUCACCUGCCGAAUGAACUAGCCCUGAAAAUGGAUGGCGCUAAAGCGGAAUACUUAUACUCAGCCAACCCCGCAAGUACAAUGCGGUGUUGAGUAGGGGGGCGUGGAGCUUGCUGUGCAUUCUUUGGCGUGAGCCAGGAUGAAGCGAACUCUAGUGCAGAUCUUGGUAGCAGUAGCAAAUAUUCAAAUGAGAACUUUGAAGACUGACGUGGAGAAAGGUUCCAUGUGAACAGUAAUUGGACAUGGGUUAGUCGACCCUUAGAGAUAAGAAAAUUCUGUUUGAAAUAAACCCUUUCUCGGAAGGGUUUGCUUAUCGAAAGGGAAUCAGGUUAAUAUUCCUGAACCGAGACGUGGAUAUUGAGUGGUAACACAAGCAAAAUCGGAGACGUUGGCGAGAGCCCCGGGAAUAGUUCUCUUUUCUUCUUAACAACUCUGUAGACCUUGGAAUCGGAUUGCCCGGCGGUAAGGUUUACAGGUUGGAAAAGCGACAUAAUUUUUGUGUCGUCCGGUGCGCUCUCGACGACCCUUGAAAAUCCGGUAGCGUGAUUUAUUUACACCCUCGGUCGUACUCAUAACCGCCUCAGGUCUCCAAGGUGAGCAGCCUCUAGUCAAUAGAAUAAUGUAGAUAAGGGAAGUCGGCAAAAUAGAUCCGUAACCUCGGGAUAAGGAUUGGCUCUGAGGGUUGGGCCUAGGGGUCUCUGAAUCGAUAGAAGUGGCGGCUAGGAGAAGACUGCGGCUUCGCGGCUGCGGACUACACUUGGCUGCUGUCUUGAAGUUUGGAGAACGUCUUCGGACUUUCCCUAGUGCGUGGAACAACCGACUCAGAACUGGAGCGGACAAGGGGAAUCCGACUGUUUAAUUAAAACAAAGCAUUGCGAUGGCUGGAGACGGUGUUGACGCAAUGUGAUUUCUGCC
rnacentral:rRNA from 1 species